CACGGGGGGAGCAAGCGUUGUUCGGAAUCACUGGGCGUAAAGGGCGUGUAGGCGGUCAGGUAAGUGAGAUGUGAAAUGCCCCGGCUCACCCGGGGACCGGCAUCUCAUACUGCUUGGCUUGAGCACGGGAGAGGAUGUGGGAAUUCCUGGUGUAGCGGUGAAAUGCGUAGAUAUCAGGAGGAACACCGGUGGCGAAGGCGCACAUCUGGCCCGAUACUGACGCUGAGGCGCGAAAGCUAGGGGAGCAAACGGG
rnacentral:rRNA from 1 species